AGAGCACCAAGCGUCAGCUGCACACAUAGCCCGUGGGCAUGCAUGGGCAAGUCACUUUGCUCACCUCGCUCACACCACCCACGCACCAAAAAUGUGUAGCAUGUGCGUAACCCUACGUAUGUGUGCCAAAGAUGAGUCGCAUGCCCUACCCCUUGCACCUGCAUGACCCAAUCUCGGGCAGCAGGCUCGCACAGUCCAAUCGUUCCAAUCACGCGGUUUGCGGCCCAGCC
rnacentral:lncRNA from 1 species